GUGACACUAGCUCAGUCGGUAGAGCACCUGACUUUUAAUCAGGUUGUCGGGGGUUCGAUUCCCCCGUGUCACA
rnacentral:tRNA from 1 species